GGCGCUGUGGCGGAGUGGUCUAACGCGAAAGACUCGAACUUCAUGUGCUCAGGUAUCUUUUCCCUUCGGGGGCACCGGUUCGAAUCCGGUCGGCGUCG